rnacentral:rRNA from 1 species
AUGUAGGCAGCAAGCGUUGUUCGGAAUUACUGGGCGUAAAGAGUGUGUAGGCGGUGCUCUAAGUCUGUUGUGAAAUCUCCCGGCUUAACCGGGAGGGUGCGGCGGAAACUGGAGUGCUUGAGGGUGGGAGAGGUAAGCGGAAUUCCUGGUGUAGCGGUGAAAUGCGUAGAUAUCGGGAGGAACAUCUGUGGCGAAGGCGACACCCUGGACCAGCACUGACACUGAGGCACGAAAGCGUGGGGAGCAAACAGGA